rnacentral:lncRNA from 1 species
UUAAAUGAUUUAAUUGAAUACAAAAAUAACGUAUUAUGUCAAUAAAUUAGUGAAAAAAACUACUAUUCAGUAUUAUCUUUAUGGUAGUACUGCAUCAUUGAAUUUUGUCAAUCAGCCAUGCUUUUAUCCUUAAGCUGUGUAAGAACCCUCUUUGCAGAUGAAAAUUCACCUGCGGCAGUGCCAUGUUCACGAUUUUACAACUAGA